UGACAACCAAGUUUUCAAUAAAAGCUGC
rnacentral:sRNA from 1 species